UAUGCGAUACUUGGUGUGAAUUGCAGAAUUCAGUGAAUCAUCGAAUCUUUGAACGCACCUUGCGCCCUUUGGUAUUCCGAGGGGCAUGCCUGUUUGAGUGUCAUUAAAUACCAUCAACCCUCUUUUGACUUCGGUCUCGAGAGUGGCUUGGAAGUGGAGGUCUGCUGGAGCCUAACGGAGCCAGCUCCUCUUAAAUGUAUUAGCGGAUUUCCCUUGCGGGAUCGCGUCUCCGAUGUGAUAAUUUCUACGUCGUUGACCAUCUCGGGGCUGACCUAGUCAGUUUCAAUAGGAGUCUGCUUCUAACCGUCUCUUGACUGAGACUAGCGACUUGUGCGCUAACUUUUGACUUGACCUCAAAUCAGGUAGGACUAGGCCCGCUGAACUUAAGCAUAUCAAUAAGGCGGAGGAA
rnacentral:rRNA from 1 species